UCGUCCUUCACUAAACUCUGGUCAACAGAAGACUUUGGUUCCAUGCUACGUUCUGUAUUUUCUGAAGAUGUAGGUGGCGAGGCCAGUAUGUACUUUCCAUUACCGAGAAGGAAGCGGUGUGCUGGACCUUUACAUACGUCAUCAAGAUUCAGCAUUUCUGUGCACCUGCAUACGCAAUUAGGCCUGGAGUCAUGCAUUGGCCAAGCUAGCAGAUUGUAAAUGGCAUCUUUAACACCCUGGCUUACAGCAACACAGCCCACACAAUGCAAAUGGAAAGAAGCUGGCAGGUAUCCAAGAGUGCCAACGGCAUCAUCAACAAAUUAUGGGUCCAAAAAGCUCAGUUAUAUGAUAAGUGUGAGGGUGCAACGCAAACACAGCUGCUUCAUAUUGUGCAACAGGCUCACUGGGGCAGUCAGAAUAUGGACGAUGGAAAAACAAACAGAAGAAAUACAACUUUAAAACAUUAAAAGAACUUCAGCUCAUUUCCACCCAUGAAUUUGCAUAUGGUGAGUACAACAAGUUAUCCAUGAAUGGGAGUGUGCCACACAUUAAGAGAGCAGCCACGUGCAAGUUGUGUCCUCUACUUUUCAACCUUAGCUCCUUUGGCCUGGCCAAAAUAAAACAAUCAGAAUUAUCAAUAGCCCUCAAAAUAGAGUUGUGCACUUACGACAGGAUCUGUUAAAUUACUUGA